CCCUUCUUAGCUCAGUCGGGAGAGCGCGUCGCUAGGAUUGGAUUUAUAAAGGCGAGAUUCUAUUGAGACGAGGUCAGUCGUUCAAAUCGACUAGAACUUG